rnacentral:rRNA from 1 species
UACGUAGGGGGCGAGCGUUAUCCGGAAUUACUGGGCGUAAAGCGCACGCAGCGGUUCGCCAAGUUUGGAGUGACAGUUGUCGGCUCAACCGACAAAGGACUUCAAAAACUGGUGAACUUGAGGACGAGAGAGGAACAUGGAACUCCAGGUGUAGUAGUGAAAUGCGUAGAUAUCUGGAAGAACACCAAUGGCGAAGGCAAUGUU